AACGAACGCUGGCGGCAUGCCUAACACAUGCAAGUCGAACGAGACCUUCGGGUCUAGUGGCGCACGGGUGCGUAACGCGUGGGAACCUGCCCUUAGGUUCGGAAUAACUCCCCGAAAGGGGUGCUAAUACCGGAUAAUGUCUUCGGACCAAAGAUUUAUCGCCUUUGGAUGGGCCCGCGUUGGAUUAGCUAGUUGGUAGGGUAAAAGCCUACCAAGGCGACGAUCCAUAGCUGGUCUGAGAGGAUGCUCAGCCACACUGGGACUGAGACACGGCCCAGACUCCUACGGGAGGCAGCAGUGGGGAAUAUUGGACACUGGGCGAAAGCCUGAUCCAGCAAUGCCGCGUGAGUGAUGAAGGCCUUAGGGUUGUAAAGCUCUUUUACCCGGGAUGAUAAUGACAGUACCGGGAGAAUAAGCUCCGGCUAACUCCGUG
rnacentral:rRNA from 1 species